rnacentral:rRNA from 1 species
ACACUCUGUACGGAGUUACAAAGGACGACAUUAGACGAAUCAUCUGGAAAGAUGAAUCAAAGAAGGUAAUAAUCCUGUAGUCGAAAAUGUUGUCUCUCUUGAGUGGAUCCUGAGUACGACGGAGCACGUGAAAUUCCGUCGGAAUCUGGGAGGACCAUCUCCUAAGGCUAAAUACUCUCUAGUGACCGAUAGUGAACCAGUACCGUGAGGGAAAGGUGAAAAGCACCCCGGAAGGGGAGUGAAAUAGAACCUGAAACCGUGUGCUUACAAGUAGUCAGAGCCCGUUAAUGGGUGAUGGCGUGCCUUUUGUAGAAUGAACCGGCGAGUUACGAUUUGAUGCAAGGUUAAGCAGUAAAUGUGGAGCCGUAGCGAAAGCGAGUCUGAAUAGGGCGUUUAGUAUUUGGUCGUAGACCCGAAACCAGGUGAUCUACCCUUGGUCAGGUUGAAGUUCAGGUAACACUGAAUGGAGGACCGAACCGACUUACGUUGAAAAGUGAGCGGAUGAACUGAGGGUAGCGGAGAAAUUCCAAUCGAACCUGGAGAUAGCUGGUUCUCUCCGAAAUAGCUUUAGGGCUAGCCUCAAGUGAUGAUUAUUGGAGGUAGAGCACUGUUUGGACGAGGGGCCCCUCUCGGGUUACCGAAUUCAGACAAACUCCGAAUGCCAAUUAAUUUAACUUGGGAGUCAGAACAUGGGUGAUAAGGUCCGUGUUCGAAAGGGAAACAGCCCAGACCACCAGCUAAGGUCCCAAAAUAUAUGUUAAGUGGAAAAGGAUGUGGCGUUGCCCAGACAACUAGGAUGUUGGCUUAGAAGCAGCCAUCAUUUAAAGAGUGCGUAAUAGCUCACUAGUCGAGUGACACUGCGCCGAAAAUGUACCGGGGCUAAACAUAUUACCGAAGCUGUGGAUUGUCCUUUGGACAAUGGUAGGAGAGCGUUCUAAGGGCGUUGAAGCAUGAUCGUAAGGACAUGUGGAGCGCUUAGAAGUGAGAAUGCCGGUGUGAGUAGCGAAAGACGGGUGAGAAUCCCGUCCACCGAUUGACUAAGGUUUCCAGAGGAAGGCUCGUCCGCUCUGGGUUAGUCGGGUCCUAAGCUGAGGCCGACAGGCGUAGGCGAUGGAUAACAGGUUGAUAUUCCUGUACCACCUAUAAUCGUUUUAAUCGAUGGGGGGACGCAGUAGGAUAGGCGAAGCGUGCGAUUGGAUUGCACGUCUAAGCAGUAAGGCUGAGUAUUAGGCAAAUCCGGUACUCGUUAAGGCUGAGCUGUGAUGGGGAGAAGACAUUGUGUCUUCGAGUCGUUGAUUUCACACUGCCGAGAAAAGCCUCUAGAUAGAAAAUAGGUGCCCGUACCGCAAACCGACACAGGUAGUCAAGAUGAGAAUUCUAAGGUGAGCGAGCGAACUCUCGUUAAGGAACUCGGCAAAAUGACCCCGUAACUUCGGGAGAAGGGGUGCUCUUUAGGGUUAACGCCCAGAAGAGCCGCAGUGAAUAGGCCCAAGCGACUGUUUAUCAAAAACACAGGUCUCUGCUAAACCGUAAGGUGAUGUAUAGGGGCUGACGCCUGCCCGGUGCUGGAAGGUUAAGAGGAGUGGUUAGCUUCUGCGAAGCUACGAAUCGAAGCCCCAGUAAACGGCGGCCGUAACUAUAACGGUCCUAAGGUAGCGAAAUUCCUUGUCGGGUAAGUUCCGACCCGCACGAAAGGCGUAACGAUUUGGGCACUGUCUCAACGAGAGACUCGGUGAAAUCAUAGUACCUGUGAAGAUGCAGGUUACCCGCGACAGGACGGAAAGACCCCGUGGAGCUUUACUGUAGCCUGAUAUUGAAAUUCGGCACAGCUUGUACAGGAUAGGUAGGAGCCUUUGAAACGUGAGCGCUAGCUUACGUGGAGGCGCUGGUGGGAUACUACCCUAGCUGUGUUGGCUUUCUAACCCGCACCACUUAUCGUGGUGGGAGACAGUGUCAGGCGGGCAGUUUGACUGGGGCGGUCGCCUCCUAAAAGGUAACGGAGGCGCUCAAAGGUUCCCUCAGAAUGGUUGGAAAUCAUUCAUAGAGUGUAAAGGCAUAAGGGAGCUUGACUGCGAGACCUACAAGUCGAGCAGGGUCGAAAGACGGACUUAGUGAUCCGGUGGUUCCGCAUGGAAGGGCCAUCGCUCAACGGAUAAAAGCUACCCCGGGGAUAACAGGCUUAUCUCCCCCAAGAGUUCACAUCGACGGGGAGGUUUGGCACCUCGAUGUCGGCUCAUCGCAUCCUGGGGCUGUAGUCGGUCCCAAGGGUUGGGCUGUUCGCCCAUUAAAGCGGUACGCGAGCUGGGUUCAGAACGUCGUGAGACAGUUCGGUCCCUAUCCGUCGUGGGCGUAGGAAAUUUGAGAGGAGCUGUCCUUAGUACGAGAGGACCGGGAUGGACAUACCUCUGGUGUACCAGUUGUCGUGCCAACGGCAUAGCUGGGUAGCUAUGUGUGGACGGGAUAAGUGCUGAAAGCAUCUAAGCAUGAAGCCCCCCUCAAGAUGAGAUUUCCCAACUUCGGUUAUAAGAUCCCUCAAAGAUGAUGAGGUUAAUAGGUUCGAGGUGGAAGCAUGGUGACAUGUGGAGCUGACGAAUACUAAUCGAUCGAAGACUUAAUCAA